rnacentral:rRNA from 1 species
UYAUGCUAAAUAAUAUUUUUUUACCGAAAGUUUUUGAUUUUAAUUUCAGUUGUUUGGGUUUGUUAGAUCAUUUUCAUUUCAGGUAGAUUUGUUUAAACUGUAUUUACGUUGUGAUAAGUUAUUCGGAAAUAUUUAUAUCUGUUUAAUGAUCCUUUUCUAGUUUUAGUUUUCUGGCUAUGAGGUCAGUUAACCAUUAAUAUUCUAUUUUUUUGUUUUAAAGUAAGGGUUAGAGUUACCCGGUUUUUAUAAUUGUGUUACAACUUUUUACUAUGGGUUUUUGAAUUUUGUUUAUUGAUCAUUUAUUUUUUAAUUUAUAGCUUUAUAUUUAUGGUUAAAUUAGUAAUUUUAUUAUAGAUUUUGUUUCUAAAGAGUUUCCUGUCUGUUUAUUAAAAACAUUUCCACCUAAGUUAUAUUGGUGGUAGUACCUGCUCUAUGCUUAUGUAAAUGGCCGCAGUAUCUUGACUGUGCGAAGGUAGCAUAAUUAAUUGCCUUAUAAUUGAAGGCUUGUUUGAAUGGUUUGACAAGGUAAUUUCUAACAUGAUUUAUUUGUUUGAAUUUAAUUAUAGGGGCACAGAAUCCCUUUAUUUUAAUUAGACGGAAAGACCCCGGGAUCUUUGUUUUUUGUCUGGGGCAGAUGGUUGUGUUUCACAUACCAGUUAGACCCUUAUGGUGCAUUGGUUUAAGUUACCCCGGGGAUAACAGUGUAAUAGUAUAUAAGAGAUCAUAUCGAAUUUACUGCUUGCCACCUCGAUGUUGACUUAGGUUUAGAUUUGGGCGCAGUAGUUCAAAUUUUUGGUCUGUUCGACCUUAGUUUACCUCCAUGAGUUGAGUUAAGACCGGCGUGA